rnacentral:sRNA from 1 species
AAUCAGAUUGAUCUGGUACCUACAAUUUCUCUUUUAUUGGG